rnacentral:lncRNA from 1 species
GUCCUCGAGCAAAAUAAAAACUAACUCACUUUCGCAGGAAUCGCGAUUGCAUUUACCGUAUGCAAUAAGGCUUUAAACCCCUAGGUGGCCCUAGUGGACGAGUUUUGUCUCGUGGGGGUUUCCGGCCCAGAUACCCACAAACUGUUGUCUCUACCUAAUGAAUUUGUUUUAUUGCUUUAUAAAAUCUAAUUUUAAAUGCAUAAGUGCCAAAAAUUUUAAAAGCACACAAAGUUUUAAUUACUAAGUCAGCCCAAAUCCUAAAUCAGUAUGCAAUUUAAGUUGAAGUCAUUAAGUUUCUGUUAGAGAGUUGUAAGGCUAAUUUAUACUUGGGUGCUCGGUGAUGUCUGGACCUACACAAGCUAAGGCUUUAGAUUCUCCAAAAUACUGCUAAAACUAGUAGUUUCCAAGAAUUGGUCAGAUAAGACCUAAUCACUGAUUCAAAAUCAUCCUACCUUUCAGGAUUUCGAGAGUUGUGGAUGUUUACUUUAAUACCUCAUGGGCUUUAUCUGUAAUAUUCCAGUUUACUC